rnacentral:rRNA from 1 species
GAGGAAUAUUGCACAAUGGGCGCAAGCCUGAUGCAGCAACGCCGCGUGAGGGACGAAGGCCUUCGGGUCGUAAACCUCUUUUCUGGGGGACGAGUAAGGACGGUACCUCAGGAAUAAGUCUCGGCUAACUACGUGCCAGCAGCCGCGGUAAAACGUAGGAGGCGAGCGUUAUCCGGAUUUACUGGGCGUAAAGCGUACGCAGGUGGCUUCGUGAGUCGGACAUGAAAGCUCCCGGCUUAACUGGGAGAGGUUGUUCGAUACUGCGAGGCUUGAGGUUGGGAGAGGGACGUGGAAUUCCCGGUGUAGUGGUGGAAUGCGUAGAUAUCGGGAGGAACACCAGUGGCGCAAGCGGCGUCCUGGCCCACACCUGACGCUGAGGUACGAAAGCGUGGGUAGCAAAC